CGUCUAUAUACGUAUAGCAUAUCAAUAAGCGGAGGAAAAGAAACUAACUAGGAUUCCCUCAGUAACGGCGAGUGAAGCGGGAAGAGCUCAAAUUUGAAAUCUUCAAGGUUCUACCUUGACGAAUUGUAGUUUAAAGAAGUGUUUUCUGUUGGAGUUUUGGUAAAAGUUCUUUGGAAUAGGACAUCAUAGAGGGUGAGAAUCCCGUAUUUGACCAUUAUUUCCAACUUUGUGAUACACUUUCAAAGAGUCGGAUUGUUUGGGAAUGCAGUCCAAAAUGGGUGGUAAAUUUCAUCUAAAGCUAAAUACUGGCGAGAGACCGAUAGCGAACAAGUACCGUGAGGGAAAGAUGAAAAGAACUUUGAAAAGAGAGUUAAACAGUACGUGAAAUUGUCAAAAGGGAAGCGUUUGACACCAGUGUUGUUUUCUCGAAAAUCAAUUAAAAAUGCCUGGAUUUUGUGUUGUAUUGACUUUAUCAGCUUUCUGCACUCUUUUCCUGUCUUUUUUAAUGCACUUUUCGUUUAACAAGUCAACAUCAAUUUCUUUUGCUGUAAAAGGGUCAUUGGAAGGUGGCUUUCUUUUCGGAGAAAGUGUUUAUAGCCUUUGGCCUCUGCAGUCGGAGAGAUUGAGGUCUGCAGCGUAGAUCCUUCGGGGUUAGAUGCAUUUGUGCUAAGUUAUAGCCUUUCAUAGACAACUUGUUGACUAUGAUCAGUCAUGUAGCUUACUCGCUUAUGUCAUUUUACCUACGCUUAGGAUGUUGACGAUCAGCUGAGCGCG
rnacentral:rRNA from 1 species